rnacentral:piRNA from 1 species
UGAAAUGUGGGUCCUGUCCAAUGCUGAUUCC